UGGGGAAUAUUGGACAAUGGGCGCAAGCCUGAUCCAGCCAUGCCGCGUGUGUGAAGAAGGCCUUUUGGUUGUAAAGCACUUUAAGCGAGGAGGAGGCUACUUGGAUUAAUACUCUAGGAUAGUGGACGUUACCCGCAGAAUAAGCACCGGCUAACUCUGUGCCAGCAGCCGCGGUAAUACAGAGGGUGCGAGCGUUAAUCGGAUUUACUGGGCGUAAAGCGUGCGUAGGCGGCUUCUUAAGUCGGAUGUGAAAUCCCUGAGCUUAACUUAGGAAUUGCAUUCGAUACUGGGAAGCUAGAGUACGGGAGAGGAUGGUAGAAUUCCAGGUGUAGCGGUGAAAUGCGUAGAGAUCUGGGGGAAUACCGAUGGCGAAGGCAGCCAUCUGGCCUAAUACUGACGCUGAGGUACGAAAGCAUGGGGAGCAAACAGG
rnacentral:rRNA from 1 species